rfam:Asian citrus Psyllid, Diaphorina citri - Florida Strain, whole genome shotgun sequence.
GCCAAGUUAGCUUAGUUGGUAGUGCGUCUGCCUUGUAAGCGCUAGGCCGCGGGUUCGAUUCCCGCCCGGGGCG